UCCACAGCUGGGGAUGCUGUGGGGCGUAGUCAAAGGUGUUUUAGCUCUGAUGAGGAUGAUGAUGAUGAGGCACCUGGAAUUAGGGUAACAGCUGACAGCGAUGAGGAGUUGUAAACUGGCAUAAAAUGGGGUCUAGAAUCCAGGGCUAAUUGCGUUGGGCAAGGUAAUCUGGACGAAUGCUUGGGCUCUUGUUGGGAAUUUCCUGAAGACGGGUGUGAUUCGUUUGCUGAAUACCUUGGACCUCCGUCGUCUUUUUGACGGACAUUAAUUGCCUACUCUGGAUUGACGCUGGACUGACUGACUGACUUCGACCUUGGACUAUCCCUUCUGUGAUUAUCGGUGGAACUGGUGAACUAAAGACGUCUGUACCUGGCCUUC